UACAGAGGUGGCAAGCGUUGUUCGGAAUUACUGGGCGUAAAGGGCGCGUAGGCGGCCUUCUAAGUCAGACGUGAAAUCCCCCGGCUUAACCUGGGAACUGCGUCUGAUACUGGGAGGCUUGAGUAUGGGAGAGGGAUGUAGAAUUCCAGGUGUAGCGGUGAAAUGCGUAGAUAUCUGGAGGAAUACCGGUGGCGAAGGCGGCAUCCUGGACCAUAACUGACGCUGAGGCGCGAAAGCGAGGGGAGCAAACGGG
rnacentral:rRNA from 1 species